rnacentral:tRNA from 1 species
GUCUGGGUGGUGUAGUUUGUUAUCACGCUAGUCUCACACACUAAGGUCUCCGGUUUGAACCCGGGUUCAGACA